UUUAACCAAUUAGUGUUCUCACUUCAGUACAAGAAAAAUAAUCUCCCUCUGGUAAUUUUUAUAUUCACAAGUGCAAAAAGUUUACUCUAUCCAUGGGAAACGAAGCAAGAGGAUCUAAGCAGUGAUACAUGCCUUAGAACUUGUAAGCUUGCUCAUAAUUCCAGUUGAGACUCGGUAACUUACAUUUAUUAGAACUUGUAAGCUUGCUCAUAAUUCCAGUUGAGACUCGGAACUUACAUUUAACCGGUAAAAUCUAUGAAACCUCACUUCAGAAAGAGGCAAAGAAAGAAGAAGGAAAAUUGAAAAACACUUUCUACCUGUAA
rnacentral:lncRNA from 1 species